CAGUCGCCGCGGGAAUACGGAGGGUGCAAGCGUUAUCCGGAUUUAUUGGGUUUAAAGGGUCCGUAGGCGGAUCUGUAAGUCAGUGGUGAAAUCUCACAGCUUAACUGUGAAACUGCCAUUGAUACUGCAGGUCUUGAGUAAAUUUGAAGUGGCUGGAAUAAGUAGUGUAGCGGUGAAAUGCAUAGAUAUUACUUAGAACACCAAUUGCGAAGGCAGGUCACUAAGAUUUAACUGACGCUGAUGGACGAAAGCGUGGGGAGCGAACAGGAUUAGAGACCCCCGUAGUCCCUGUCUCUUAUAC
rnacentral:rRNA from 1 species